GGAAAACGUUCCCCCCCGCCCCCCAAAAAAAAUUUUUUUUAAGGAAAUAACAGUAAAGCCUAAACUCUGAGGCAGCUUCUCACGGAAGACUACUUAGGAACUCGGGGGCAGACAGGAGUGCCCUCAGACCUCCGCCCCCUCCCCAGGCCACAUCCCCCCGCUGACAGGGAGGCCGUGUCCGAGUUGACCUCUGAAUGUAUUUGAUGGGAGGCGAAACUGGGUGUUGCUUGGUCCUCUAAGGACUCAGUCCUCCUCUAAGGCUUGUGCGGUUUUCCCUCCUCGCCUGUGGCUCCCUCAGCUCUGAGCAAG
rnacentral:lncRNA from 1 species